rnacentral:piRNA from 1 species
UGAGAUACUGCUGAACCUCUGGGGCUA